rnacentral:rRNA from 1 species
ACUCCUACGGGAGGCAGCAGUGGGGAAUAUUGCACAAUGGGCGCAAGCCUGAUGCAGCCAUGCCGCGUGUAUGAAGAAGGCCUUCGGGUUGUAAAGUACUUUCAGCAGUGAGGAAGGUGGGUAUGUUAAUAGCAUAUUCAUUUGACGUUAGCUGCAGAAGAAGCACCGGCUAACUCCGUGCCAGCAGCCGCGGUAAUACGGAGGGUGCGAGCGUUAAUCGGAAUUACUGGGCGUAAAGCGCAUGCAGGUGGUUUGUUAAGUCAGAUGUGAAAGCCCGGGGCUCAACCUCGGAAUUGCAUUUGAAACUGGCAAACUAGAGUACUGUAGAGGGGGGUAGAAUUUCAGGUGUAGCGGUGAAAUGCGUAGAGAUCUGAAGGAAUACCGGUGGCGAAGGCGGCCCCCUGGACAGAUACUGACACUCAGAUGCGAAAGCGUGGGGAGCAAACAGGAUUAGAUACCCUGGCAGACUCUGC